rnacentral:tRNA from 1 species
GAGUCAUAGCUCAGCUGGGAGAGCGCUACGCUGGCAGCGUAGAGGUCAGGGGUUCGAGCCCCCUUGGCUCCA